rnacentral:rRNA from 1 species
GCAGUAGCCACGGUAAUACAGAGGGUGCGAGCGUUAAUCGGAUUUACUGGGCGUAAAGCGUGCGUAGGCGGCUUCUUAAGUCGGAUGUGAAAUCCCUGAGCUUAACUUAGGAAUUGCAUUCGAUACUGGGAAGCUAGAGUAUGGGAGAGGAUGGUAGAAUUCCAGGUGUAGCGGUAAAAUGCGUAGAGAUCUGGAGGAAUACCGAUGGCGAAGGCAGCCAUCUGGCCUAAUACUGACGCUGAGGUACGAAAGCAUGGGGAGCAAACAGGAUUAGAUACCCCUGUAGUCCCUGUCUCUUAUAC